GUACGACUCUAUCUAGUGAUAGAGUAUCGCUUUCAUACAGCGAUAAUUAGCGGUUCAAAUACAAUAGUAGGUA
rnacentral:tRNA from 1 species